GCGCUCCGAUUGGACGCAGGGCUUGCUUGUCUGCAAGCGUUGGAGGUCAGCGGCAGUCCCCGGGGCCUCGGUGUUCGGUCCCCGGGUCCUCCAAGUUCCAUUCCCAGGCGGGUCCGGGCUCAGGGGCCCGAGCAGACUCGCUGUGUCCUCCGGUCGCUGUGCUGAAGCCGCGACGCACGUACAGCCGGAGUGUGACGGGGCGGCCCCGGUCACCCAGUCCUGGGCGUGGAGCGUGCGUCGGACGCAGGUCGGGGGCGUGGUCUCCGCCGGGGCCCCUGGUCAAGGACCGGGAACGAGGGAAGGGCUUUGGGCCCCAGGCUGGGGUUCGAAUGUCGACUCCGCCCCAUCACGUCUAGCGUACCGCUCAGCAUUUCUCAGGGCCUGGGUGCCAUCCCGGUGAAAGGGGCCCUGGCAGGCCCACUAGGGUCUGCUGCGCGGCCCGCUCAGCCCCUGCCCUGGGUAGCAGGUGUGGCGGAGGAAGGGCAAGACGCGAGGCAUCUCAGAGCGCUGUGGGGCCCGGAAGCCCAGAGUCCGGUUAUUUUUAACCACCCGCGCCCCCUCCCCCUUCGGGGAGUUGGAAGGCUUCUGUCUGGGGCCUGUGCGACCCCGCCAAGGAUUGCUCCGAGUCCACUUUAGAUAGGAGGUAUUUAAAGCGCUUUACAGUUUGUGAGUUGAUUCUUGGUUCCUCUGGAAACGGGUGACAAUAUUGAUCACCGAUAAGGAGACUAAAAAUGGCUUCGGGGCCUUGGUGGGUCAUCACCCUAGCCUUUGACCAACCCAGGCCCCAGAGCCCUCUUGUCCUAUUUUUAGUCUGGCCAAAUUGGGGGAGGUGUUGGGGCUGAGUCUCGCAGUGAUUCAGGCUUUAGCUGCUCUAGGCAUCUGGUCACCUGGCAACUGAGCCGUGGGCACCCACAGCUGAGCAGGGAGGGCAGAAGUCCUUGGUGCCCAAGAUGGCUCUGGGCCCAUUGGUCAUCUGCUCAGGCAUCUGCACAGAAGACGGUUCUGCCUGGUCAGGUACUGCCUGGUAUGUGAGCCUGUGCUUUGGUCACACACCCCCUCAGCUCUCAGGGCCUGAGGGCAGGAUUUCCCCUGGAAGAACCUGAGGCUGGAGCUUGGUGGCCUGGGUCUGGGAAGGAUCUCUGCCUCUGCUUCCCAAGUGCCCGGCUCUAACCCACGCUACCGUUCUGGGCUCCUCGCUUGUGAAUCCUUCCUCACCACUGCCUGUGCCAUUUUACAGGUGAACAAAGCUGGGGCUUCGGACCCUCCUCUCUCUCUGUUGCUUGGGCUCCCAGCCUCUGAGGACAACGGCCACCGCCUCCCCCCACCCCCCGUUAUUAUUCUAAACCUGAGGGGCCCAGAGAUGCACUGAGCCAGUUCUGUUUGGGGUCUUUAGAGAAACCUUGCUUGCUUGUCCCCACAACUGGGUCUUCAACCUUGACUGGCACCUACCUGUUGAUGAGUGUCUCCUGCCCUCCCUGGGCGUCCUGGGCCAUCUCAUUCCUCCCAUCCUUUGAGUUGAUACCUCUAUUACCCUGUUGAGAUCUGGGGAGGGGGGUAACUGAGGCCCCCUGAGCUUCACUGAGGUUCCCUCAAAGGCCUGAGGGGCCCUCCAGAGCAGCCUGCCUGGGACCCCAGCUGUGUCUUUAGGCCUCAGUUUUCUCCUGCUCUGCCCAGCCCUUGUUAAGAACCAGGAUGAAGCAGCCUCUAGGACCUGGCCAUAGGCCCCUGGAGACCGAUUGGACACUGGGGGUGGGCAGGAGUCAGGAAGCUUUGCAGUCGUGGGUCCGGGUCCACACCGCUCCCUGUGUGGUCUGGCAGCCUGUUUCUCUCUAAGAUGGCAGUCGUGAUGAUAAGACCCACCUCACGGUCUGAGGUGAUGCAGGGGGUCCUUGAGGGUGGGAUGGAGAAGACGGGCCUCCUUCUCUGACCUGCUACAAGUUUCAGGCCUAUGUGACCUUCCCUGUCCAGAGGAUGGGUGAGCUGUUUGCAGGUUUGGGCAGCUCCCCAUCUCCUCCCAAGAAACCCUUUCUCCUGAGAAGUUCCCAGGAUCGCCUCUCAUGGGCUCUACUGUCAGCGACCCCAGCAGGAUGGGGUCUGUCCCACUGCCAGCCUGGCUGCCCCCAUCUAGCUAUCCCUGCACCCUGCUCUUUUACAGGCAGACAGACCAUGGCAGAGUUCUCCCAGAAACGGGGGAGGCAGCGUGACGAGGUCCUGGGCAGUACUGUGGAUUUCCUCCUGGCCAAUGCCCGCCUGGUGCUGGGCGUCGGUGGGGCCGCUGUGCUGGGAAUUGCUACCUUGGCUGUGAAGCGGCUCAUCGACAGGGCCACCAGCCCUCGAGACGAGGAUGAUGCCAAAGGGGACACCACAUGCCUGGAGGAGAGCUGGAAGGAACUGACCCUACUCAAGACCACACCAUGCCUGCAGCCCCGGACCCCACCUGCUGCCCUCAGCCAGCCAGCAUCGCUCCCCGCCCCCUUGCCAUCUGCCCCCGAGGGGCCCUCAGACACCGAGCCUCAGCCGUUGCCUCAGCCGAGCUCCCCAGCACCGCUGUGCCUGACGUUUCAGGAGAAGCUGCUGGCGUUCGAGCGGGACCACGUGACCAUCCCAGAGGCCCACGUGGCUCUGGCCAAGCAGCUGGCCGGUGACAUCGCCCUUGAGCUGCAGGCCUACUUGCGGAACAAAUUCCCAGAACUGCCCUUCGGGGCCCUUGUGCCCGGCGGGCCGCUCUAUGACGGGCUCCAGGGGGGGGCCGCCAGCCGCGUGCGCCUCCUGGUUCCCCUGGUGCUGGAGGUGGGCCUGUGGGGCCUGGUGCCCGGCGUGGACACCGUGGCCAGGGACCCUCGCUGCUGGGCCGUGCGCAGGACUCAGCUUGAGUUCCGUCCCCGCGGGAGCAGCCCCUGGGACCGCUUCCUGGUGGGCGGCUACCUCUCUUCCCGGGUCCUGCUGGAGCUGCUCCGCAAGGCCCUGGCCUCCUCCGUCAACUGGCCGGCCAUCGGUGGCCUCCUCGGGUGCCUGAUCCGGCCCAGCGUAGCCUCGGAGGAGCUGCUGCUCGACGUGCAGCAUGAGCGCCUCGAGUUCACCGUCGCCGUGCUCCUGGCGGUCACUGGUGCCGACGCCGAAGACCGCCUCCUUCUGGCCUGGCCCCUGGAGGGGCUGGCCGGGAACCUCUGGCUGCAGGACCUGUACCCUGCAGAGGCCGCCAGGCUGCGGGCCCUGGACGAGCGUGAUGCCGGGACCCGCCGACGGCUGCUGCGGCUGCUGUGCGGGGUCUGCCGCGGCCACCCGGCCCUGGGGCGGCUGGACUGCUGCCAUCUGACCCAGGUGGUUCUGCGCCUGGGGGAGGAGGAGGUGGACUGGGCCGAGGCGGCCCUGGGGGAGCGCUUCCUGCAGGCCCUGGAGUCGCUCAUCGACAGCCUGGAGCGGGCCAGCCUGCCCUGCCACUUCAACCCCGGCGUGAACCUCUUGAGCGGCCUGCGUGAGGAGGAGAUUGACGACAUCGGCUUCGCGCUCUACAGCGGCCUGCAGGCCCCCGAGUGUCUGCUCUAGAUGGGUGGGGACAGGGCGGCCGGCACUCGUGCUGAUGCUGGUGAGCUGUGUGCGCCUCCCCUCCAGGAAUUUGGAGAGCACUUUUUCUCUUGCUUUAGCCAGAAUAGAGGAGGGUGCUCUAAGUCCGCGGGGUUAGCAUGUCCCGGGCAGCAGUCCGGGGAGCCCCAAGCCCGGGCCUCUGGGGCAGCCUGCCUCUCCCGCCCCUCGGGCCGACCCUAGGACCUUGGGCUCGGUCCGUCGUCACCAGCAGUGAACGCACUGACAGAACACGGCUUCUGCUGUCCUAGGCAGGGGAUAAAGGCAGCUCCGUUUUUCUGUCGAGAGGGGGCCGGAGUCACCUGGUACCCCCGGAUUGCAGCUUUGGGGCUGAUUUAAAGGCCGCGUCUCCCGACGUCACCUGCGUGUCUAGUUGGCUUGUCGAGCUCUCCCCUCUAGCCUGGAACAGGAGCUCAGUCUGGCGUGCUGCCCACCUCGUACCUCAGGGGAAGGCCCCUCUCCCUCCAACCGGGCCAUUUUUCUCUUUGGGCAGAGAGGCCCCUGGGAGAGCCCCCUUCCGCUGCUGGGGGAGCCAAGGUUCCCUGUGCUGCCCACCUUGCCUAGAGGCAGGGCUGUCCGACCAGCUGCUGCUGGGUCUGGCCGGAGAGCGGAGGCCGUGCCUUCCCAGGGAAGCCGGCUGAGCGGGCCUGACCUCCACAGUGCCAACCUGAACUGCUCCCCGCUGACGCCUGUGUCCUCACUGAAGCCUGGCAGAGGUGGGGAGGGAGGGCCGCCCCACCUCCCAGGCAUCCCUCCCGUCUUUGGUAUCCUUCUUGCUGAAGCAAAGCUAUGCCUCAAAGAAUGUGAAUGACAAUAAAAGGAAAAAUUCAAACGUC